UACGAAGGGGGCUAGCGUUGCUCGGAAUCACUGGGCGUAAAGCGCACGUAGGCGGAUUGUUAAGUCAGGGGUGAAAUCCUGGAGCUCAACUCCAGAACUGCCUUUGAUACUGGCGAGCUCGAGUCCGGGAGAGGUGAGUGGAACUGCGAGUGUAGAGGUGAAAUUCGUAGAUAUUCGCAAGAACACCAGUGGCGAAGGCGGCUUACUGGACAGGUAUUGACGCUGAGGUGCGAAAGCGUGGGGAGCAAACAGG
rnacentral:rRNA from 1 species